UACGUAGGCAGCGAGCGUUGUUCGGAAUUACUGGGCGUAAAGAGCGUGUAGGCGGCCAUACAGGUCAGCUGUGAAAACUCGAGGCUCAACCUCGAGACGUCGGUUGAAACCGUAUGGCUAGAGUCCGGAAGAGGAGAGUGGAAUUCCCGGUGUAGCGGUGAAAUGCGCAGAUAUCGGGAAGAACACCUAUGGCGAAGGCAGCUCUCUGGGACGGUACCGACGCUGAGACGCGAAAGCGUGGGGAGCGAACAGG
rnacentral:rRNA from 1 species